rnacentral:lncRNA from 1 species
UCACUAUACAUAGGUCACAUGCAUUUUUAAUAGCUGCAUAGUAUUCCAUAGUAGAAAUAGUUUUAACUAUUUCCCUAUUACUUGAUAUGUUUGUCUGUAGUUUAGUUUUUCACUAUCCCAAGGAAGGAAAUUGGUUUGGGAGAGUUGGGGGCAGGUAAAGAGGUCCUCAAGUGAGAGACAAAAGACCUGGGCUGUUUCUAGCUCUGUUCUAAUUUGUGACCUUGGGCAAAUCUCAUUCAUUUUCUAGGACUAAGUGUCUGAACCUGUCAAAGAGGUUUCAGAUAUGUAUACUUUCAGAUUAUGGAGGCUCCUUAACCCCCUUGAAAUGCCCACAUAUAAAAACAUUUCUGAUGAAUGUUUUAAUCAAAUAUGAAUCCUGUAAUCCCUUAAAUCUGCCCAUAAGCCCCACUUGGAAAUUUCUUAGGCUGUAUGGAUCGCUGAAGGUUUUUCCCUGAUUCCAGUAACCAGUUAAGGCAGUAUCAAUUUGAUAAAUAAAGAAGUGGGUUAGCAGUCCAGCCACAUGGUCCUCUUGCAGUACCCCCACCACCCCACCUUCCCAAUUACGGGAUUUCAGGACAGUUUCCCAUCACUUGAAUGUGCUCAAGCCUCAGUGUGGGUGCCCUUGGUAAAGCUGCAGAGCCCCUCUGGCUGGGUUUUGACACGUUUUAACCGAGUGGUCACUCCAGCCAGUUCUGAAUGUUGCUGGGCUAUUCUUAACUCUUUUUAGUAGGUCUGCAGCCCCCCUCUCACCAGGAAACCCUGACAUCCGUCGAAUUUUCCUCCUGUUUCUCUACUCCUCACACCUGUCUAGGGUGGACUUAAGUCUUCCAAAGGUUUAAGAAUGCAGAAGAGAGUGGGGAAAGACAGCUGUUUUUCAUUUGCAUUUGCAAAUUUGAGCUGCUAAUGUGUGUUUGAUAAUUCGUGUUUUCCUAUAUCUUUAGAAACAACUCUUUUUGCUUCAGAACAAUGUUAAGGAAUGGAAGAAAAUGUAAAAGUUCCUUUGAAUACACCCAAGUUGUAUUUCUCCUUGAGUCCCAGGUUUCUACUCAAUUUUGAGCUUUCUCUUUCCAACUUUCUACCGUGUCUCCACCCAUGACUAGACACCUCUCCUCCCUGACCCAAACCCUGUCUCCCUGUUGGAAGUUAUCAGAAAACUGCUAAUACCACAGUAUUUUUUGUAAAAAUAUAUCCUGUCCCCACUGACAGCCCCUAAUGUUUUUAAAUAGAAUAUUCUUCACUAGCCUGAAAGCACACGUGCUCAGAUAACUCCGCUGAUAUCCACAACCUCUUCAAGAAUAACUGACAAGGAUUCUUAACCUUUUUUUAUGCCAUGGAUCUUUCACGCCAGUCGGGUGUUGUCUAUGACCUGCUUCUCAAAAUAAUGUUUUAAACACAUUAUUGCCUGUUCAUGAGGAUUGGGGAGGUGGUUGUGGGCUCUUAGUACUGGGAGUUGCUCAGAAGCUGCUCGAUGGUGCUCUGUCUCCUCUGAGCAGGAGGACUUCCUCAGUAAUCGAGCAGUCAUCCACCCAUUGAAACUGCGGACGCUAGUGUUCAUCCCAGGUGGACAGCAGGUUCCUCCUGCUUCCCGACAGAGACACACCUGCACAAGCGUGAAAGGAGGGGCGUCCCUACCUCUGUGCACAGAAACCAUGUGAACUGUUAGAACUUGGGCUGGUUGGCUCGGGUGAGGAGGGGUGGCAAUGGUAGGUUGUCUUGUAGCCAGCCUCUUCCCAUAGUUUAUCACGCCAGCUUUAGAUCCGUUCAGAGGCAGUAGUAAAGGCGUCAGAAUUUUUUUGCAGUGGGUCUUGGCUGCUGUAAGGGAGCUUUGGCUCUGGGAAUAUUUCCCUGUGACUGACAGACUUUUCUGGGAAACCAUCAAAUAGUGUCCAGGCUCUUAGUGCCCGGGACUUGGUUUAUAAUGCUGUGGCAGGUGACCCCCUGGAGAAGGAGAAAGCCUUGGGAGAGGCAGUCGGCCAAGAGCCCUGAGCAUCCCUGCACGUUCUUGCUUUGUGUGAACUCGAGAGCCUGCCCACUCUUUGCCUGGGCCGUAACUCAGUGUUGUGUUGGUAGUUAGCAACCUGGAGAGAGGAGGUCACGUCUCUUCCCUGGGAGCACGUUGGCCCACUCUUUACUGUGAAAGUGCUGACUCCCUUAAGCUCAGAGUUUUUUUUCCUGUGACACAACCCACUGCAGGUUGAGGCAUCCAUCUAGACCUACCCGUGACGCUUUUGUUGGGGAGCGGGGAUGGGAACUGGCACAAAGGUGCUUCUUACUGCUUGCUGCGCUCUAAGUAAUAAAGUUCUUUGUCUCUGAUCCGGAGUCUCAUGUCAUCUGCCAAUAUCCAUGAAAAAAUAAUAAGUUAACCUGUUAGUUUGCAAGUAGGAUGAAAUUCGAGACCCUUCAUGCACUACUCUUGACGAUUUGGUAAAAGGGAUGGUAUCCUGACAAGCCUUUCCAGAAGAGAAAGGUCAUGGGCCAGGUGAGGAUUUGAGAAGAUAAUUUGGGGUCUGGUAGCAAAUACUGCUGAGUGAGGAGGGAAGUAAGGGUCCUUGGCUGUCUUGCAUAUUAAUGUUCUGAGACUAAGCAGCAGGAGGUAGGACUGAAACACUGCCCAGCUGGUACUUAGGUUGUUGCUCGUUCUCCUUGGUGCAGGAGAAGGAAAGGAUGUUUUGACAAUGAGGCAGCGAGCCUGUGGCCCCAGGUAUGUAGCAGAAUGGUUGUGAUUGAUGAGGAAAGGGUGCCCCAAAAGUGAAGUAAGUGGUGUCAGCAGUUAGGAUAUAGAGCUUUGAAUGGACCAAAAAUCCUGAGAGUUUGUUCAGUCCAAGCAGGUGACUACCUGAAACAAAAGUAAGUACAUGACCUGAUCCCUCCCACUCCUUCUCCUGCUUUAAGGAAAGAAGCGGGGUAUGUGGGGGGAUCUUUGAGGAGGGGAGGGAUUCCCCUUUUAUAACACAAUUGAAUAUAAGCAUCUAAGUCACCAUACUACUUUGUCGCUUGAGGACAGGGAACCCUGGGCAUAGGAAUGGUCGUAAGUGCCAAGGACUGGGGGCAGAUCCACAGUGGUGUGGUGUGGGGGGUGGGGGUGGGGGCUCCAAACAAAAUAGCAUCCCUGAGCCACAGGUGCAUGUCAGAGCCAAGAAGUAGGGAAGAGGCAGCACUGAUCCCCGAGCAGGAGUCAGGAGAAAAGGCCUUUUCACUGACCCAGCUGCCCCUGUAGGCUGCUCCUCCCACUCCUGUGAUGUCCCCACACUCUUGGCUGGGAGAGUCCUAGUCUCACAAUGGCUAUAGCCUGCAGCCUGCCUAUUUUAAACUGCUUGGUUUGGCUUCCCAUGGAGGAGGAGAAAGUGCCUGAAUUCUGGUGGGGUUUGGACAAAAUUUGCAAUAGGAAAGGAAAAUUAAAAUGAGCUGUAGGGGGACCCUCUAAAUGGAUUCAGCGUACUAAUAUUUUGUGGCUUUCACAUCCGUGUGUUACUGCCGUCAGUUGUACAUUUGAUUGAACUGUGAAUGCUCUAAGUCUCCCAUUCAGGGACUACCUCUGCAUAGAGAGAAGUGGCCUCUGUCUCCUCUUGAGUCUUCCACCAAAAAAAACAAUAUGGAAUUCUGAGAAGAAAGAAAUGAAAAUCACAGCUUUAGUUGCAAACUUGGUGACUGCUGGAGCACUCAGGCCACUUCCCAGUACAACGGUGUAUUUUUGCAAAUACCAAAUAAAAAAGGAAUUACGAUUAGGCUAUUACAGAGCUCUUGCUGAAACCAAACAUUUGACCCAUGGAAGCCAUAUCAACUCAGAUUUGACAACUAACAAGAAAGCCCAGCAGUCGCCUAGUCAAGUGGAAAUGGCUGGGAUGUGGCCAGCCUCAGCAUCUUAGUUUUCCAUGAAAAAUGACAGCUAUUCCUUCAGAGGAAAGGUAUUCCCCUCCGGCCGUGUGAAGCAAAGCUACUAGCUCACUGGGCCCCUUGGUUCAGAGACUUCUCCAAGGGCCUGGUUCACUGAUGGUCCGGCUGAGCGGCAAGCUUUUGGCGCCCAGUGAGAAUUCUGGAAGACUGACUAUGCUGAGGGCUUGAUCAGGACAAAGGGCUGUAUUGAAAACUGCCACCCUUACCUUAGACAAUAUUCCUAGGACCUGGAUAGGUUGUCAUUUUUAUUGAUUCUGGGGCUGUUGCCAGUGACCGGGUCUUUUAGUCUUUCACUUAGAAGAUUGCAGACUGUCCAAGAUACUCUUCCUCGGGGCCCCAAAGUAGAAGUGAAUUACAGCUAUUAAUUGAAUUGUCUGGGUCAUUCAUGGCUUAUUCAAAGAGGACACUUUCUUUGAUGAGACCAACUAUAAUCAAGCUUCCUGUACCACCCAGGUAUCUACCAUUGUUGCCUGGACCCAUCAUCACACCUGACAUGGCAUCACACGCACCAUCGCAGCCUAGGCACAAAGCUGAAAAGCUUAUGCUUCCGACGCAGAGGCUACCACUGCAUGCCAGGCUUAUGACUCCUGUUUGUCUACCCUUGAGUGAGGCCACGAGCACAAGGCAUGGCCUCCCCCCGUCUCCUGGCUUAUUGACUGUAUCAGACCUUUGGCUCUAGAUCUCAGUAGUGCCUCACCACUGCCGACACUUUUUCAGGUUACAGUGUCAUUCUAGUCCACUCAUCCAGCUCUGACCACACCAUUUUGGUCUUGAAACCAGUCUGCUUCAUGCUUUGUUUUUUGUUUUGCUUUUAUUUAUUUAUUUAUUUAUUUAUUUUUUGUCUUUUUGUCUUGUUGUUGUUGUUGUUGUUGCUAUUUCUUGGACCGCUCCCGAGGCAUAUGGAGGUUCCCAGGCUAGGGGUUGAAUCGGAGCUGUAGCCACCGGCCUACGCCAGAGCCACAGCAACGCAGGAUCCGAGCUGCGUCUGCAACCUACACCACAGCUCACAGCAACGCCGGACCGUUAACCCACUGAACAAGGGCAGGGACCGAACCUGCAACCUCAUGGUUCCUAGUCGGAUUCGUUAACCACUGCGCCACGACGGGAACUCCUUGUUUUGCUUUUUUAAGGCCACACCCACAGCAUAUGGAGGUUCGCAGGCUACCGGUUCAAUUGGAGCUACAGAUGCCAGCCUAGCCACAGCCACAGCAACACCAGAUUCAAGCCAUGUCUGUGACCUACACCACCGCCCAUGGCAACGCUGGAUCCUUAACCCACUCAGCGAGGCCUCGUGGUUCCUAGUCAGAUUAGUUUCUGCUGCGCCACAAUGGGAACUCCUCUGCUUUGUGUUUUGGGGUUCUUUUUUUUGGUCUGUAUACAGUCUGACUUUUAUUGCUAAAGCCAGUCAAUAGUGGGCUGAUAGUCAAGGUAUUUUACGGCCCUUCAACUCUUUCAUUUAUAGUUAUAUAGUAGUGUUGAAUGUUGGAACAGCCUACUUUAAAGAUUUCUGACUCCUACCUCUCAUCUCAUUAUGGUCAAUAUAUCUUAGAAAGGUCACUGAAUAUCGCUGACCCUAGAAAUCAUCACUUCCUCUUUACCACUGUAUCAGGGUUCUCCAGAGAAAGAGAACUAAUAGUAUUUGUUUGAGUAGAUAUAAAGAAAUGUAUUAUAUGGAAUUAGCUUACAUGCUUAUGGAGGCUGAGAAGUCCAUGAUGUGUCUGUAAGCUGGAGAUCCAGGAGAGCCAGUGGUGUAGUUCCAGAAUGAGUUCAAAGUCCUGAGAAUCCGAAGAACCAAAAGUGUAAGUUCCAGUCCAGAAGCAGAAGACUAAUGCCCUCGUUUGAGAGCAGUCAGGCAGAGACAGUGAAUUCUCUCUUACCCCAACUUUUUUUUGUUGUUGUUUACUUUCUAGGGCCACACAUGGAGGUUCCCAGGCUAGGGGUUGAAUCAGAGCUACAGCUGCCAGCCUAGCCACAGCCACAGCAACUCCAGAUCUGAGCUGCAUCUGUGAUCUACACCACACACAGCUCGUGGCAAUGCCAGAUCCUUAACCUCCUGAGCAAGUAUAGGGAUCAAGCCAGGUCCUGGGUACUGGUCAGGUUUGUGACUGCUGAGCCACGACAGGAACAACCUGUGCAUUUUCUUCAUACAUGUGUCAUUACCAAUUAUGGUAUUGAUGCCAGAAAGAUGUUACCAAAUCCAGGUUCUUGUUCACAGAGCCAAAGAAUGAAUUUUGAGAACACACAGGCAGCAAGCAAGCAAAGUCUUUAUUACAGGAAAGCAAACAGCUCCCAGGACAGCUGGGAGGGGGAAGAUGAGUCCCCCUCUCUAUUGUCCUAUAGGUGUUUUUAAUCCCAUAAAGAUGGGGGUUACCAAUAUGAGGUCCAGAAAGCUGUGGUUUUCUCCCAUUGCCCUUGCCCAGUUACCUCUAUUAGUGCUUGUUCAAUAGGGGUCUUAGGGGUGGACAUGUCCCCUAAGUCUCAGGGUUUCUUUGCCCUUUUCUUCCCGUAAACUGAGUCACAGGGGGUUAUGUCUGAAGAUGAAAUGCAACUGACUCCCAACCAGGAGUUAAGAAGCUUAAUGCCUCGAUUCCAGACCUGUUCCUAUAGUAAAUCAUACUUUUGCUUUUUAGGCUGCUUUCUGUCUGUAAAAUUUGUGAAGGGAACAGCCUGAGUAUGUGCUCUAUGUUGAACUUCUGAACUGCUCUACUGCUUUUGCUCUGUAACCUGCUGCAUAAGAUAAAAAGAGAAGUCAAUCGCCUAAC